AACCACUUUCAUGCUUGGGAUGUGAACUGAAACUGUUCACAUGACUUGGAAAUCCCCAGUUAGGUGUGAUUCAUUAACUGGCAUGGAUAAUGUCCUUGCCUUUGGAACACACGGCCGGUGGAUAUUACGGAUGAAAUAAUUUAGAGAGUUCUCGGAAGGAGAUCAUUGAGACGCUUGGUGUGUGGCGGUUGUUUGGCAAAAGUUGACGGAACUGGAUUAUUUAGAGGAAGUAAAAGUCGUAACAAGGUUUCCCGUACGUGAACCUGCGGAAGGAUCAUUA
rnacentral:ncRNA from 1 species